AGAAGCUUUCCAUUAUACACAGCUCGAGGAAUAGACGGAAAACUAGAGAGAGAGAAAAUGAUCUACAGAAAGUGGAGUCUGCUUACUGGUCCGACCUCUAUCAUCGCCGGAGUAAUCGGCACUGUAGUGGUCGCAGAUCUCAUCUUCGUUGAUAACGGUUGGUUGCGCAAGGGAGAUGAAAAGAAGCAAGAACUAGCAACUAAAACCAAGUAGAAGCAGAAAGGGCUCAUUCCAAUUGCUGUGUUCCUUUGUUUUGUCAAGAAUGCAAUGUCGAAUAAAAUGAUCUUGCUCGUUAUACAAUUCAGUUUUUGUGUUUAAAUUCUUUUGAGUUUUGCUACCUGGAUAGCCAGAAAAUCAAGUAGAGGCAGCGAAUAAAUCAGAAUAUGUAAAGUACAAAGCUGGUUUAACAUUAUCUUUGAUAUCUAAGAAGCAUUUUUAUCAUCAAA